UAUUGAUUGGGGGCGCUGAUCUGAGUGACAGUGUGAAUGAGGAUCCGAGCACCUCCAUUUCUUCUGAUAUGUUCUUCUACAUCUUCAUAGCGAGUCGAUGGCUGCCGAAGACUCUUCUUUCUCAGAUCUGAGUUUUGGUGGGAACCUUCAACCAGGAACAACCAAGGUGAGGUUAAGAGAAAUAAAGAGAGAGAAUUUUGGGGCUGAUAGUUUUCAGGGGAGAAGAAGAUCCAAUCGGUGGGGGACCUAAAUCUGAAAAAUUCAGAGGUAACGUUAGGUAGUAACCUUUUGGGAAGGAGAAAUUGUUGACACCAAGAAUUAUACUUUCUUCACUGGCAAAUGGGAAGCAACACCAGAGGAUGAUAUAAGGCACUGGACCAAGUUUUCUUCUUUUAAUUCUUUACUUCCGUAGGGAACGUGAAUAUAAGGCGACCAUCAAGUUUGCUUCGAAGCCAGACUUACAUCAUCUGCGACAGUUUUUAUAGAGCAGGCAACUUGAUGCUCCUCAAGAGACAAUUCAAGCACUGGAUGUUGCUCUCAGAGGAGAUCCAUCGGAUAAGUAAUUCAAUACUGCCUUCAGGCUUUAGAACAAAAUGCUAUUCUUUAUAAAAUUUUCUUACUGCUUUACUAUUUUUUUUCAUCUGAAAAUUCAGUGCCUGGUAGUUUAUUUUGGUUUGUAUAUGUUAUGUAACUUGAUAAUAAUGUACUCUGUAUGUUGUUAAAAGUGCUGAGUUUUUUUUAGUUGAUGGCUUGAGUGUAUGUAUAUCUUUAACUGCAGGUAUACUGUUGUUGGGAGGUUGUUUUUUCACCUCACACUGGGGCGUCCUGUCAUUUGCAGAAUACAAGGACUUAUAAGAUUACUGGGAUAUCGACAGAGCCACUGAACAAAUUAAUGUUUACUCUUGAUGAUAAGAUGACAUAGAUUUCAGUUGCUGCUUAAACAUUACCAUUAAACUACAUACACUCGGUUUGUUGCUUCUUCUAUUUGCAGGUUCAACAAGCUUUUUCAGACCUGGAGAGGUAAUUUCAGUGCUUUUUUGGGUACAGGAAUCUUGUAAACAUGCUAGUGUUAUUCUUUAAUGGGUGCUUAAGUUAGUUCAAACCUUCGCAGUGGAAAUUACCAACAUAUGUAAUAUCUAACUAAGUUCUAUAUUGUAUUAGUUUAUAAUAAAAAUGGCUGCUUUAAGAAGUCAUUGGCAGCCAACAUAUUUGAUUAUGCAUGUAUUUGUUUGCUCUUAAAUUGUAGCAGUAGCAUCCUUUGGCUAAA